GGAGCAGGGACCAGGCGCACGUGCCCUGCCGUGAGCGAGAUGCCCGGCGGCACCGUCAACUCCAGCGGGUGCUCCCCAGAGAGACGGAAUCCCUCCUCUAGAGACGAUAGACACGGCACGGGAAGGCUCUUCAGGCAGGAACCCCGGGGGAGCAUCUUGGGAAGCUACUUCUCACUCAGUCCUGCUUCAGCCGGACCCGAGGACAGGCUGGUGCCCCCGGGGACACGGUGCUGAUGGCGGGUGUGCCGAGACAACCUCGUACCCUGAAUAUCGUCACUGAGCGGGUAAGCCACAGCCGCUACGUUAGAGUUCACGUAAAUAAAAAACAAGACCAACUUCUGGCAGAAAAGAAACCGCGUCCGCCCUCACGACUGGAACGUGCCCUCCCCCACGCUCUCCUGCCCUCUGGCCCAGAGCCUGUCCUGGCACGGCUGCGGUCGUGCCCGUCCCACCGAGGGGCCCUGGGUUAGGGCGUCAGGGCUGGACGCCAGUUCUGGGGAAGGCUGUUUCCUCCACAGCCCGCCAGUUCCCCUGCCCUCCCGCGGAGCACUGCAGGUGUAGUGGAUGCGGAAGGCGGUUACCAGGCGAGGGUGAUGAACACGUUCCUGUCUCACAUCACUGGACUCUCCUGUGCUUGUCAUCAACUUCAAACCUGGGGGUCCUUGGGGAUGUGGGUCUGUUCUGCUGGAAAUCUGAGCAUGUGCUGACGGAGUUCUUCUCCCGAGCCUCUGGCUGAUAAGAAGGGGCCGGAGUUCGCUGCAGGGUCACCACUGCAGGGCCCUUCUCCUGCCGGAGCCGAGGGGGCCUGAGCUGGCCUCUGCCCGGCCUUCUGGCUGCUUCUCACUGGCCCAUCCACGACAGAGACGUCCCUGGUGCAGGUUCAGAAACCGCCUCCUUGGUCUCCAGGUGGCCGGCCCUGGGGGCCUGCAGCCCCACAGCCGCGUCCUCCCCACCCUGAGCCCACCCCCUAAGCCCACCUCCUGAGCCCACCCCCUGCAGAGCUGUUCUUCCCGGGGGCAGGGGGCGGGCAGUGGGGGAUA